rnacentral:rRNA from 1 species
UACGUAGGGCGCGAGCGUUGUCCGGAUUUAUUGGGCGUAAAGAGCGCGCAGGCGGCGGUGCUGGCCCGGCGUGAAAGCCCCCGGCUCAACCGGGGAGAGUCGUCGGGGACCGCACCGCUUGAGGGCGGUAGGGGCUGGUGGAAUGCCUGGUGUAGUGGUGAAAUGCGUAGAGAUCAGGCAGAACACCUGGGGCGAAGGCGGCCAGCUGGGCCGUCCCUGACGCUGAGGCGCGAAGGCGUGGGGAGCGAACGGG